UACGUAGGGUGCGAGCGUUUAAUCGGAAUUACUGGGCGUAAAGCGUGCGCAGGCGGUUCGUUGUGUCGGUGGUGAAAUCCCCGGGCUUAACCUGGGAAUGGCCAUGGAAACUGGCGAACUGGAGUGUGGCAGAGGGGGGUGGAAUUCCGCGUGUAGCAGUGAAAUGCGUAGAGAUGCGGAGGAACACCGAUGGCGAAGGCAGCCCCCUGGGCUAGCACUGACGCUCAGGCACGAAAGCGUGGGAGCAAACAGG
rnacentral:rRNA from 1 species